AGAUGAAGAUAGCACGGUUGUGUGCACAGAAAUUAAUUUUCAGUUUGGUCUGCAUGUCUGCUCUUGAUGAUUUCUGAUCUAGGGACCUGGUAAUGACCUACAUAU